CCUAAUGAAAUGUUCCAGCUGAGGCUAUUAAAAAAAUAGCGACCUCAAGAACCUGUGUUUUUUUUUUCUGCCUCACAGAAAACAGUCAGCGUCUUUUUUCUUCUUCUGAUCAGAGAAAUGAUUCAAACUAUGAAAGAAAAACAAUAACUGAUCGCUGUCAGCGGUCCGACCAUCAGGUGUUGGAGAUGGAUGUGAGACUCUAAAAGUCGUGAUCGAAGCGCUCAGUGUUACAUCUGUGCGUGUGAGCUGCGUUAGAGGAGGCAACAAUGGAUGAACACCGCCGAGCCGAGAGGAGACGUGACAGCCGCGCACUGCAAGACAACGACCAUCAGCGAGUCUGUCUCGUUUUUUUUUAAUUUCUUUUUCUUUUUGGGGAGACAAAUGAAUGAAAAUAAAAAUUAAAAAAAAUCUGCUGCAUGUUUAUAAAAGUCAGGUCUACAUCAUUCGCCUCAUAGAAAUGACACCUGAGUCAUGAAACAGGUUGGAUGUUCUCUGGCAUCAGACUCACUCCAUCACCAAUUACAAAAAAAAAAAAA